CCUACGGGAGGCAGCAGUAGGGAAUCUUCCACAAUGGACGAAAGUCUGAUGGAGCAACGCCGCGUGAGUGAAGAAGGGUUUCGGAUCGUAAAGCUCUGUUGGUAGAGAAGAACGAUAGAGGUAGUAACUGGCCGUUACUUGACGGUAACUACUUAGAAAGUCACGGCUAACUACGUGCCAGCAGCCGCGGUAAUACGUAGGUGGCAAGCGUUGUCCGGAUUUAUUGGGCGUAAAGCGAGUGCAGGCGGUUCAAUAAGUCUGAUGUGAAAACCUUCGGCUCAACCGGAGAAUUGCAUCAGAAACUGUUGAACUUGAGUGCAGAAGAGGAGAGUGGAACUCCAUGUGUAGCGGUGAAAUGCGUAGAUAUAUGGAAGAACACCAGUGGCGAAGGCGGCUCUCUGGUCUGCAACUGACGCUGAGGCUCGAAAGCGUGGGUAGCGAACAGGAUUAGAUACCCCUGUAGUC
rnacentral:rRNA from 1 species